CUACUUUCAACAACGGAUCUCUGGCUC
rnacentral:rRNA from 1 species